rnacentral:rRNA from 1 species
GACGAACGCUGGCGGCGUGCCUAAUACAUGCAAGUAGAACGCACAGUUUAUACCGUAGCUUGCUACACCAUAGACUGUGAGUUGCGAACGGGUGAGUAACGCGUAGGUAACCUGCCUGGUAGCGGGGGAUAACUAUUGGAAACGAUAGCUAAUACCGCAUAAUAUUGAUUAUUGCAUGAUAAUUAAUUGAAAGGUGCAAUUGCACCACUACCAGAUGGACCUGCGUUGUAUUAGCUAGUAGGUGAGGUAACGGCUCACCUAGGCGACGAUACAUAGCCGACCUGAGAGGGUGAUCGGCCACACUGGGACUGAGACACGGCCCAGACUCCUACGGGAGGCAGCAGUAGGGAAUCUUCGGCAAUAGACGAAAGGCUGACCGAGCAACGCCGCGUGAGUGAAGAAGGGUUUCGGAUCGUAAAGCUCUGUUGUAAGAGAAGAACGGGUGUGAGAGUGGAAAGUUCACACUGUGACGGUAUCUUACCAGAAAGGGACGGCUAACUACGUG